CUGUACUAAAGCUUCUACUUGAUGCAGCAUCAUAGGUUUAUUACAAAAUUCUACGAGUGGUUUCGGUUGGGAAAGUGUCAAAGGACGCAAUCGAGUACCAUACCCGCCGACUAAAAUUAAAGCUUUCAUAAUUGUAGCGAAGGGUUCUUCUACGCGAGGUUUUUCUUGUGCUUUUGCUUGUUCAAUUUGUAGAAAAUGUUUUCAAAGCUAUGGAAAUUAAUAUUUGCAACGUGUUACGUGUCGUGAAAUAUUUUAUAUUCCGAAUAUCCAAGCGGAAAAUAUCGUAGCAACCUGCAACGAGUUCACCACCCCCCGGAAGCAAAUGCCUCAUAUCACUUUUUGCAGGGGGUUAAUAGAACAAAAUGUGAAAUAUUUUCACCUUCAUGCAGAUUCCCCCCGUAAUGUUACUCAUAAGAGC